UCCUGUCAUUGGGCGCUCAGGAUGCGAAUUCGAAUCAGGGCAGUUUGUGGUUCGCGCUUGUAGCUCGCUGGGUCUGGGGGGCAGGAGCUCUCAGGGACACCGUCCGACCGGAACUUCUAAAUCGCCUGUCGCGGCAUUACCCAGCGCCGGCGGGUGCAGUGCGAGAAACUCCUGCAGCAGUUACCCCAAGUCCGCCAGUGCUGGAACCAGAACACAGCUCCACUGACCUUGCCAGUCCAUGCUUCAAUCAGCAGACUAGGGGUUUCCAAACUUGUACAAAAUGAGAAGCAUGUCUUAAUGAAGAGUUUAUCUUGUGGAUACAUUUCUCCCACAUGUGAUCAUUUGGAUCCACCUCCCCUUCCUUUCAGAGCUGCAUAACAUCACCAGGGCCGGCUCCAGGCACCAGCCAAGCAAGCAUUCCGCCUAAUCCUAGGGCGGCAUGGAUCCUUUUUUUUUUUGUUGUUGUUCUGCUCCAGCUGCCCUGUAGGGGGCGGCAGUGCGAAGGACAAGAGCGCACUGCAGCAAGCCCGGCAGGGCAGCCUGCAUCCUUCCCUCCCAGCCGACCGGAGCGGUGUGGAGCCCUCCUGGCAGGCGGCACGGCGAGAGGGGCCGUGUGGCAGCACCCCGCUGAAGCCCUGGUUGCCCCCUUUCUCUCUCUCCCCCCGCUAGCCGGGGCACAUCUGCAGGGAAGGGAGUCCCCCUGGCUCUGGCCGCGCCACGCCACUUUGCUGUUCUGGCCGCCGCGGGUUUUUGUUUUUUGUUUUUUUUUGCUUGGGGCGGCCAAAAAGCCAGAGCCGGCCCUGAACAUCACUAUGGCAAAUACAGCAAUCACAUGAAAAAGUAAUAUUGGGAAAGGAGUGAGUGUAUUUUUAGCUUUUAAUGAGAAGUAUUGUGUCCUUUUUGGAAAAAAAAGUUCAUCACAGUGUCUAUAUUUGUGCUCCAUUUCAUCUCCCCCUCCAGCUGCUUUGUUUCAGCUAAAAACCAGUUGAGCCAGCACCAUGUGACCAGCCAGUUUUCUGCAAGCCACUAGCAAGAACAGGCCAGGGAAAUGUGGGGCAAAGGACUUGUUGGUUGCAGGGAGUGUGUUGUGACAGAGAAAUGUGUGUGUGUAGAAGGGGAUAGCAAGACUGUGGGAGGAAGCAGAGAGGGAGAAUAUAGAGGCCAGAAGUACAUGGGGCAGGAUGAGACAUGAUGCUGUUACUGGUACCAUGUCUGAUGCACAAAACAGAGACGGUCCUGAAAGCAGCUAAAUCCAAAGGGUUGAUUGCUUACAAAGCCAAAAUACGCUGCUCUUUUGUGACCUGAGACCUAUCACCUGGGGACAUCUGAAAGAGUUUGUACCUCUUGAAUGAGUGUAUGAGGCCCAAUCCAAAGCCCACUGAAGUCCAUGGGAGUCUAUUUUUCCAGGUCUGGAAAAAGCUACAUAAUUCACAGCAAAAAUCUGCUGCUGGCUCUGGGCCUCCAGUCACUCUCUGCCUGCCAUCUCCCACAGAUGAGUCUCUCCUGCUCCGCUCCACCCUUCUCUGGGCCCUUCCACAGAGGCGCCUCUGUUGCUCCUGGACCAUCACACCCAUCCUGCACCGGCAGCUCCACCCCUACCAGACCCAUCUUCUGAUUCCGAGUAGUCUUGCGAACCGGACCCCACCUUUUCACCUGCAUGGUCCUACAGCCUGGACCCUUGGCUCCUAUCGUACCCUCCGGUGUAUGGUCUACUGGCUGACCCGUGGUUCCACUACCUGCAGGUGCCGCUGAUGCCUGGCGACCCCUAUGCCUGGCCCUACUGGGCUGCCUGGAACCCCUACCAUGAGCGCAGGAUGCCAUCUCGCAGCACUGCCUGUCCCCAACAAGGCCCCUCCCCUCUGUCUUUGAGGAACCUCUGGCCAUCCCCGCUCUGGUGGCACCAACAGUAUCUUUGCCACCUCUGGUCCAUUUGGCUGCCUUCUCAUCUCCAGGCAAUGCCAUCAUUCUUCUCACCACCCUCCCUCGCCGACCGCUUGCAGUACCAGGACUUACUUCGACGCAUGGCCACAGCCCUCAAUCUGCCUGUCGAAGACAUCCAGGACCCACAGGAUUAAUUCCUGGACAUCCUACAACCCCUUGUUGACUCAUGUACCACCCUUCGUAUCCACAAUGCCCUUCUACAACUGGCCCAGACCAUUUGGCACACUCCGGCCUCCAGUGCCCCUAUACCAAAGUGGAAUGCCGAUUCUUCAUGCCCCCUAAGGGCAUGGACUUUCUUUUCACACACCGUCCCCCAAACUCACUGGUGGUCCAAGCCACGACCAAGCGUGCCUGCCAACAACACCUGCAGUCCAGGUCCCCUGAUUGGGUCGCCAAGAAGUUGGAUCUCCUGGGCUUCAAGGUCUACUCCUCCUCUGGUCUCCAAUUCUGCAUUGCCAGCUACCAGGCCAUCCUGGCCAAGCAUGAUUUCCUUUCAUACUCCAAGCUCAUGGACUUCCAGGCCUUCCUCCUCCCAUAGAAACAAUAGGACUUCCAACAUCUCCUAGAUGAGGAAAAGUUGGUGGUCAAGGUGACUCUCCAGGCCAUAGUUGAUGCUGCCGAUAUGGCGUCCCACUCGCUGGCAUCCAGAGUUGUCCUUCACCAGGAUUCCUGGCUCCAGUCUAGCGGCUUCUUGCAUGAGGUCCUGACUACCCCGAGGACCUCCCUUUUGACCACCACAAGUUGUUCAAUGACAAAACAGAUGACUCUUUGCAUACCCUCAAAGACUCUCGUGCCACUCUUCGGUCACUGGUCCUUUAUACUCUGUCCCCUGCCUUUGCCAGCAACGGUCAUCCUUCUGACCCUGCCCUUGGGCCACAUACCAGCCUUACCCCCAGUGCCCACCAGAUUCUUCUCUGCGUUGCUCCCAGCGACCCCGUUACUCCGCCAGUGCUACUCCUGCUUCUACCCUUCCUCAGCGUUCCUCCAAGCAGCCUGAGAACCGCAAACCUUCUUCCCCCCACUCUCACCACCCCACCAGUGUUUUUCAGGGGUUGCCUUGCCCUCUUCACUUACAACUGGGGCAAGAUUACCACCGAUCACUGGGUGCUGGACAUUGUACAUCGGGGUUACCUCAUUGAAUUCCCCUCCUUCUGACCUAAUUGCCCAUCCUGGGAGUACCCUGCCACGUUAUCGCAUUCUCACCUUCUGAGAGGAAGCAGAUGCCCUCCUCCAGAAGGGCGCUAUAGAACUCAUUCCACAGCGCUACCAGGGCUGUGGCUUCUACUCCCCCUAUUUCCUUGUGCUGAAGAAAGGGGUGGCCUUCGCUCUAUCUUGGACCUCCGGCUGCUGAACAAAUUUAUUUGCAAGUUCCAUUUCCGUAUGGUCACCCUCCUCCUCAUUAUCCCCUCUCUUCCCCGUGGAGCUUGGUUCGCGGCUCUUGAAAUGAAGGAUAAAUAUUUCCACAUCCACCCUGCUCAUUGCAAGUUCCGCUUUGCGGUCGACCACUUUCACUACCAGUUCUGGGUCCUCCCCUUCGGGAUUGCUACUGCCCCCCCAUGCCUUCACAAAGGUCUUUGCUGUCAUGGCAGCUUACAUGCACUGCCAUGACAGCAGUGUUUCCAAACUUGGACGAUUGGCUCAUGGUGUCAUCCUGGUCCUGCCUCCUUACCAUUACUCAGAUCUUGCAUGCCCUCCUCGGCACCCUAGGGAUUUGUAUCAACAAGAAAAAGACAGUCCUCACCCCUACCCACUCCCUACCUUUAUAGGGGCUCACCCGGACUCUGUCGCAGCCCAUGCCUUCCUUCCCUUGGAACGCUUUGCCACUCUUACUGCCCUCAACGUGCAGCUCUGCCGCCGCCCGUGCGCACACGUCUAUCAGUGCCUUUCCCAUCUGGGCCAUAUGGCGGCCUGCACCUCCAUUACCUCGUAUGCCCAUCUCUAUCUACGCUGCCUCUAGAUGUGGCUCCACUCCAUCUACAGCCUGCAGUCCGACCACCUCAGCAAACGGUUCCUCAUUCCCUCAUCAGUUCUCACCUCUCUCACUUGGUGAUGCAGCCUAUCGACGGUCUUAGCCAGUGUCCCUUUCACACCUCCCACGCCCCACCUUCCCCUCAUGACGGAUGCCUUGCUAGUCGGAUGGGGCACUCAUCUGGCUGACUGCACGGCUCUGGUCACUCAGGGAGGUGAGGAUGCAUAUCAAUGUCCUGGAGCUGCGGGCCGCCCACCUGGUACUUCAUGGGACCUUAAGCUCGUCCUCUCCGCCCUCACCAAUACGCCUUUUGAGCCACUCGCAAACCUGCUCCCUUGCCCAUCUUUCCAUGAAGGUGAUCUUUUUGGUGACCGUCACCUCUGCGAGACAAGUUAACAAACUGGCAGCCAUGACGGUCCACCCCCUUCACAGUCUUUCAUAAGGACAAGGUCUCCCUCCGUCUCCAUCCCAGAUUCCUCACCAAGGUUGCCUCCCCGUUUCACCUCAACCAGUGCAUGCAUUUCCCUACCUUCUACCCUAAGCCGCAUGCUUCCCCUCAGGAAGGUGCUUUUCAAACCCUAGAUGUCCACCAGGCGUUGGCCUUUUACCUCAAGCGCACUCGUGACUUCCGGGCCUCCCCUCAGCUCUUUUUUGCCAUGGCUGAGUGUUGCCGCAGCCACACCCUUUCAUCGCAAAGACUCUCCAAAUAGAUUUCUCUUUGCAUCACGGGCUGCUACACAUUCUCCCGUACACACACACACACAUCCCCCAGGAGUCAUGGUUCACUCCGCACAGGCACAUGCUGCUACAUCCUCACCAGCUUCGCUUUCUGUUCCAAAGCCUCAUCCUUGUCAGAGCCCUCACUGUGUUCUGCCACACGUCCGAGGAGAUCGUCUCUGAUAACCAAGCUGUGACAGAGUAGGGAGUAUUAACCUGGUAAUGUUGCAUGGGAGUUUUACUAGUUUACUGUCUGCAUUGAUACCAGAUGGUGAUGGGAAAUAAGGGUGUAACUUCACUAAGGGAUGAUACUUGACGAUUAGCACAUAAAGGAUGUCUGCUGCCUUUCAUAAUCUGAGCCCAGGAGGGGGUUGGGGCCAGGUGACACCUUCUGCCUGGGAAACUGGACAGAGCCUGGAGGAGAAGCCGGGGUGUGUGGCUGGGGGAGACUGCUGGAGGGUCUGGGCUCCCCAACCCCCAAGAUGGACCUGAGUGAGAGGUCCUGUUUUUAGUACCUACAAGCUCUGUUUUAGACUGUGUUCCUGUCAUCUAAUAAAUCUCUUUUACUGGCUGGCUGAGAGUCACGGUAAAUCGCAGGAUGGGGGGAUACAUGGCCCUGACUCCCCCGCACUCCAUGACAACUACUCCCUACUCCAUCACAUCUCUCCCCCCUUCAAGACUGAACUGAGUGGGGUCACUAACCAGUGACCUGGGGAAGUUCGGGUCCCCCUCACCGGGACAAUGCAUCAGCUACCACAUUGGCACUCCCCUCACAUGGACCACCUUCAUAUCAUAAUCCUCCAGGAGCAGGCUCCACCUCAGGAAGUUGGCAUUGAUGGUGAUGGCAUUAAGCUUCCGAUAGUCCACACAGAACCAGAUUGACGCAUCCAUUUUGGGGAACAGCACCAGAAGUGAGGCCCAAGGGCUGGAAGAUGGCUGGAUCACCCUCAAAGGCAGCAUGUCACUGACCUCUCUUUCUAGGUCCUGAGCAGUUUUCCCUGUGACUCGGAAGGGGGAGCAUCUUAUAGGAGGAUGUGAUCCUGUCUCCACCUGGUGGACAGUCAGAUUAGUGAAUCCAGGCUGGUUGGAAAGCAGCUGUCGGUACAAAUGCAGAACCCCUCUGAUCUCAACUUGCUGGGCAGGUGUUAGCUGAUCAGAGAGGGGAAUUGGUUCCAGGGAGGAGCCAGCUCCUGUCUCAGGGAAUAGAUCUACUAAAGGGUCAUCUCCCUGCUCCUCCCAAUGUCUACACACAGCCAACACCACAUUUCCCCCUGUCAUAAUAUGGCUUCAUCAUAUUAACAUGGUACACCUGGUGGCAGUGUGACCAGUUAGUUCUACCACAUAGUUUACCUCAUUUAGUUGCUUGACAACCUUGAAGGGGCCUUCCCAGGUGGCUUGUAGUUUGUUUUUUCUCACAAUCCCAGUGGCAUGGGCUAUAAACAGGGUGCCUUGUCAUGUAACUUUGGGUUCAUCCUGCCAAGACUUUCCCGGAGCAACGUGUUGUGAUCAACAAAACCUGGUUCCUACCUACCCACGAUCAACCUAGCUGGCCACUAAAUUGAUAUGGACUCUGGACUGGUAACUAUAACAUCGACUGGUGGGACAGUGUGUGCUGUGAUUGAAUACAUAUGCUAAUUAUUGUAUCUUCAAUAAACACGGUGUAUUGCCUUUU